rnacentral:rRNA from 1 species
GAUGAACGCUGGCGGCGUGCCUAAUACAUGCAAGUCGAGCGAAUGGAUUAAGAGCUUGCUCUUAUGAAGUUAGCGGCGGACGGGUGAGUAACACGUGGGUAACCUGCCCAUAAGACUGGGAUAACUCCGGGAAACCGGGGCUAAUACCGGAUAAUAUUUUGAACUGCAUGGUUCCAAAUUGAAAGGCGGCUUCGGCUGUCACUUAUGGAUGGACCCGCGUCGCAUUAGCGAGUUGGUGAGGUAACGGCACACCAAGGCAACGAUGCGUAGCCGACCUGAGAGGGUGAUCGGCCCCACUGGGACUGAGACACGGCCCAGACUCCUACGGGAGGCAGCAGUAGGGAAUCUUCCGCAAUGGACGAAAGUCUGACGGAGCAACGCCGCGUGAGUGAUGAAGGCUUUCGGGUCGUAAAACUCUGUUGUUAGGGAAGAACAAGUGCUAGUUGAAUAAGCUGGCACCUUGACGGUACCUAACCAGAAAGCCACGGCUAACUACGUGCCAGCAGCCGCGGUAA